rnacentral:rRNA from 1 species
AAUCAACGCUGGCGGCGUGCCUAACACAUGCAAGUCGAACGCGAAAGGGGGCUUCGGCUCCUGAGUAGAGUGGCGUCCGGGUGAGUAACACGUAGGUAAUCUACCUUCGGGUGGGGAAGUAACCAGUCGAAAGAUUGGCUAAUACCGCAUAAUGCAGCGGCACCUAAUGGUGAUUAGUUGUUAAAGCGGGGGAGUCGUAAGACCUCGCGCCUGAAGAGGAGCCUGCGGCAGAUAGUCUAGUUGGUGACGGUAAUGGCUCACCAAGGCAUCGAUCUGUAGCUGGUC